rnacentral:misc_RNA from 1 species
CCGCUGCCUCCCCCCUCCGAGCGGCUCACUUGGGGGUGGUGGCCACACCCGCGCACAGGCAGUUUUGAUUUGUGGCGUUGCGUGGCGACGCAGAGGUGAGCUGAGCUCUCAGGCUGCGCCGUCUGGCAUUCACUUGCGAGCGUCCGAUGCACCGCUCAACGCGUCAACGACACGCGCCGCCCGCCGCUGUCAGGAGAGCGGAGGAUGCAACCGUGCCGUCGUCCCUCAAGAAAGACCCUCUGCCUGUGUGCAAGAGGCGGGAGGCGGCCACACGCAGCGCACAGCUCACCGAUCUGUUUGACAGUCUCUCAGCUGCGGAUGCCAAGGCGCUGCAGAGCACCCAGCUCGGUGAGGAUUUUGCUGAUGACUUCACUAAUGAGGGCGCGGAAGGCCUUCUCUCGGCAACGCUGUUCUCGCGGCGGCCGCCGCUCUCGACCUCAGCGCCUCCCGACCACGCUGCGAAUGGUGUUAGCAGCUCGUCGACUGGUGAAUUAGUUCUUCGAAGUGGCAGGGCUGCUGCACCCUCCACCAACAGCCAUGACCUGCCACGCCCGUUUCACGAGCAGGCACUCGCCGUGCGGUCGGUGGAGGUCGCGGCCACUGAGAUGCAGUCGACACUGCAGCAGCUGCAACACGACCUCGCCUUUCACGUCAAGAGACGCAUCGAGGCAGAGCGCGAAGCGGGCGGCCACUUGGCCUCAGCUCCCCGACCCCGUCCAUCAAGUGACUCGGAGUCCGUCACCCCACUGCGGGCUGAGACGACGGCUGCGCAGCAGCGCCGCAUGGCCGACUCGGAUGUGCUCUCCGAAGCUGCCCGCAUUCAGCGCGCUCGCGCCGCCGCGGCCGAUGAAGGUCUCUCCGACGAUCAGUCCGUCGAGGACUACGGCGUCGACUGCGAGGUGCCGCCGCUGACUUCGGACAGCCGCUUGGUGGACGAAGUGGCGGCCAUAGCGGUGUGCAUGGCGAAGAUGAAGGAGUCCGCCAAAGUCAUGUAUGACACCGAGGCCACUGCGCCGAGCACGUCAACCGCGCCAUGGUGGUCCUCUGCGCUGCACAUGCGGGACAUGAAGGCGUCCGCGGCCCGGCUUGACUACCAUGCCCACACCGCAUUGAACUGGUCGCACCGCUCGAUGGAGCAGCUGCUCUUGCAAGCGGUCAUGCUCAACAACGUGUCGGUGAGCACGCGCACGCAGCUCCUCGAGCAGCAGCAACACUGGCAGGAGUUCCAGACUCGACUUCGCGACGGCCAGCAGACCGUCACGCAGCUGCAGGCGGACAUCGCCCGAUACCAAGCGCGUGUGCAAGCUGAGAUGGCGCGUCGUGCUGCCCUGCAGGAGGAGCUGCGCCUCUGCGCGCAGGAGAGGGGCCUUGUUGACCCUGGCGAGCGCAACCCACUGAAGGCAGAGCUGGCGCUGCUGCUCGAGGAGCGCGAGUGGCCCUCUCCUACGCUUAAGAAGGACGCGAGCGUUGUGCUGGACUGGCUGCGGUCCGUCUCGACUACUCUCGAGUGAGUCUCAAUUCGUGCGGCGGUGCGAGCAGCGCGGCAACGGGGAGGGAGUGCGGCUCUGUCUCUGUGGUCGUGAUGGUGGUGGUCGUUGCGGCAUCCGGCUACGCACACUUGCCCCAGGGGGGAGGGGCCGCACCCUCGUCCUGCUGCGCAGCUAACUCACCCGCUCCACCACAUAUGUGAGGCGCUCACCUUUUUACGCAUUCUCUCCCACCCAUGUACAGCUUCAUGUUGCGCGGUGUGCGCUGCGUGCGAUGCAGCGCACAGCACCGCCAUGCAACGUACCACGUCCCGGCACUGCGGCAUCUCUCUCCAACCCAACACAGCACACACCGCGCCCCCUCUUCUCUCCAUGACUCCAAUACCGGCGUGCGCGCAC